UCCACAAAAUUUUGCAACGGUGAAGACGCGACUGCCAAUUCCAAAUCAAAAUGCAAAACGGCGACGUUGGCGCGCUCACACGGCCAAAAGUCUACAUCUACAAUCUCUCCGGAGCUAAACGCAUUUAAGCUCCGAUCUCGAACCGCCAUGGAAGCUCGUCGAGGUUUCAAAUUCAAGGCUCUACAUAAUCGAACCAACGACACUCGUCCUCUCUGUCACAAAAGCAAAGAGAAAGGAGAGGCGUACAUCGUUCGCGCGUUGUGCUUAGGAACGAAGGUGAGGAAGACUGUUAGAUCAUUGCAUUGCGAAGGAUGAUGAGGAUCGUGAGAUUGCUCCGAUGAAGAUGCUCUGGUGAAGACGACGAAGAAGGACGCUACUCCGGUUCGCACCUCCGCGGCUUUCGACAGAACUUAAGGAUCAUGGUUUCUUUUCAUGGUCGGACAAGUUAAGGCCUCGAAGUCGACAUCGUGCAGGACCAAGCUGAAAGAAUUCUGGUGCGGAUGAAUUGUGCUGGUUGGUAUCUCGUUACGGAAAUAGUUGACCAACCUCUAUAUAAGCAGCGUCGAGGUGUGCUUGCUUGGCCCAACGGCUCCAUACUUCCUCCUACAAUGCUCAUACAGACCAACAUCAAACAUCCUCCAGAAGUUUUUCAUUCAGCUCAGACACAGCAUACCGCGACUGAAAACGGUGAUUCUCAAUCACCCAUCUCUCCAUUUUACGCGCUACUUCUGCACCAUCAGACACCUCGCCCUUUAACGCAGGAUCUGGUGCAUAGUAAACUCCAACAUUUGUGAACAUAUGAGCGUUUUGUGUGUCUCCCUGCUAGCCAAAAACGGAAUGGAACGGUAGAAUGACUGAAUAUCUAAUUUAUUCUAGCUUGAUCUCUCCUUGGUUUGUUGCAGUUCUGUUUAUUAUGCGAUGUUAGCUCACUAGGUCGUGAUGCCGUAUCCAUGUGUGUUAACUCUUGUGGAUUGUCGGGUUGUGCUUUGUAGCUAUUGUUGGAUGCCUUGGCUAUUUUGCAGCAGCUUGCCAUUUGGCUGUUUGUUUUGCAGGUUGCCUCUUAUGCUUAGAAGUGUUGUUGCGUUUGUUGUGGCUUGUAACGGUGUUGCGGCUUUGCUUGCGUGUAGCAGCUUGUGACUUUGCUGCGUUUGCCGACGUUGCCAUUGGUGUGCUUUUACUGUUCUCGCGUUGGUGUGCUGCAUUUCUCCUGAUGUAGUUGCGGUUUCAGUUGUGAUGUUCGUUGCCGGUAUUCUGCAGUUGGCCUGCAACUCCCGCUGCAGUUUGCAGCUUGUGGGUUGUUCAUGCUUUGAUGGCCGAUGGUGCGUCAGGUUUGUGCGGUUGCAACUUUGGUUUUUGGAUGUUUCAGUUGCAGCCCCAACAUCAACUUCAGUACCAAUGGGGGUAUAACCCGGAUAAGGAUCCAAAGCAAGGACAUACACAAGCAAAAGUAUUCCCAACAAACCUGGCAGAUCACCUCACUGAUGUACAAAUGUAACACCGAUCUGCUAUAAAGUUAUUGGACCGUUAGAGUAGUUUGAAAUGGAUGGUUUGAACAUGUUUAUUGUUAGAACAAAGCUGAACGCACUGCAACUUGCUUGAAUUUGGAUAUGGCUGUCAUAACUGCAGAGCCCACAUUCUUUCCAGCAUGCUUCAAUACACCUUUCAAAGCACUCAAAAUAGCUUCACGAACGGCAUCGUCUAAUCCCUGCCGACCGGAGAGCAAAUCACUAACUAUAGGGUCAACCCUGGCAUUGAGUCCACUGAGCAUCCCAAGGGCCAGAGCAACACUAGAUCGAAUAGUCCUUGUAUUAUCCUGCAGACACUUGACAAAAGUGGCUUGCAGUUAAGGAAGAAAAGGUUUCAGAAAAAAAUAUUCAGCAGUCGGGGAAAGCACGGUUGGCUUUAGGCAGUGGACCCUCCAUGUGUCUCGUUUUCUGCAAAGUACUCCUUGAAAUAUCUGAACCCUUGGUAGCUUCUUCAACAGUGCGAUAUCUCUUUAAUUCUCAUCUUCAACUCCUUCACCAAGUGUGAGGUGUUGCUUGGUGGAAAAAAUCACAUGUAUGCUCUGGUUAUGGUAAUUUGAUCCUGAAUCUCCAAAGGUGUAUGAUUCAUCACUUUGCGAGACAGACGACGUGGAAUAUGAUGAUGUAUGCUAUAUGAUAAAUUGCGUUGGAUGAUUAUUGUUAAGUAUGUCAUUGUGAAUUGAAUUUCAUAUACACAUGCUGCUAUGUAAUGAAUUUCCAUGAUAUGUUAAAAUGUAAUCGAUUUA